rnacentral:rRNA from 1 species
CCUACGGGAGCAGCAGUGGGGAAUAUUGGACAAUGGGCGAAAGCCUGAUCCAGCCAUGCCGCGUGUGUGAAGAAGGCCUUCGGGUUGUAAAGCACUUUCAGUGGGGAAGAAAGCCUUGGGGCUAAUACCCUCGAGGAAGGACAUCACCCACAGAAGAAGCACCGGCUAACUCCGUGCCAGCAGCCGCGGUAAUACGGAGGGUGCGAGCGUUAAUCGGAAUUACUGGGCGUAAAGCGCGCGUAGGCGGUCUGAUAAGCCGGUUGUGAAAGCCCCGGGCUCAACCUGGGAACGGCAUCCGGAACUGUCAGGCUAGAGUGCAGGAGAGGAAGGUAGAAUUCCCGGUGUAGCGGUGAAAUGCGUAGAGAUCGGGAGGAAUACCAGUGGCGAAGGCGGCCUUCUGGACUGACACUGACGCUGAGGUGCGAAAGCGUGGGUAGCAAACAGGAUUAGAUACCCCGGUAGUC